AUUGAACGCUGGCGGCAGGCCUAACACAUGCAAGUCGAGCGAGCGGCGGAAGGGUGAGUAAUGUCUGGGAAACUGCCUGAUGGAGGGGGAUAACUACUGGAAACGGUAGCUAAUACCGCAUACCAUCAGAAGUGCCCAGAUGGGAUUCGCUAGUAGGUGGGGUAACGCCUCACCUAGGCGACGAUCCCUAGCGGGUCUGAGAGGAGGACCAGCCACACUGGAACUGAGUCACGGUCCAGCUUCCUACGGGAGGCAGCAGUGGGGAAUAUUGCAUCAUGGGCGCAAGCCUGAUGCAGCCAUGCCGCGUGUGUGAAGAACGCCUUCGGGUUGUAAAGCACUUUCAGCGGGUAGGCGUUACCCGCAGAAGAAGCACCGGCUAACUCCGUGCCAGCAGCCGCGGUAAUAC
rnacentral:rRNA from 1 species